GCCAUCGUAGCUCAGUUGGUAGAGCGAGUCAUUCGUAAUGAUUAGGUCACCGGUUCGAUUCCGGUCGAUGGCUCCA
rnacentral:tRNA from 1 species